UAACGAGAGUAGUGAAGAGGAAG
rnacentral:piRNA from 1 species